UACGGGGGGGGCAAGCGUUGUUCGGAAUCACUGGGCGUAAAGGGCGCGUAGGCGGUCUGCUAAGCGUGCGGUGAAAGCCUGGGGCUCAACCCCAGGUCUGCCGUGCGAACUGGUGGACUGGAGCACUGUAGAGGCAGGUGGAAUUCCGGGUGUAGCGGUGGAAUGCGUAGAGAUCCGGAAGAACACCAGUGGCGAAGGCGGCCUGCUGGGCAGUUGCUGACGCUGAUGCGCGACAGCGUGGGGAGCAAACAGG
rnacentral:rRNA from 1 species